UCCGACUGAGUCACUCGCUAAAUUUAGAUAGUAAACAAUAGUAAAAUAUGAUAGUAGAGAAACAACACAUCAACAAUAUGUGGUUAUACAUGAAAAUUAUGCAGUGGAUGGAUAGUGUUCUUGCUACGGGAGAAGAAGUGGAUUUUUUUUUCACAAUGAGUUCUGUUGUCCUAUCUUUGUUAAGGAUUUUUUGGCCAUCAUAUGGACACUGAUAAAUAAAUGAAUCUCAGGUUUGACAUGUUUUGACCCUCAAGACUGUAUUGACAAAUACGCAACUCUCUUUCAUUUUGUCUUCAUGCAUUGUUACUAAAAUUUCAUGCGAUGUUAUUGAAAUUUCACUAAAAUCUCCAGGUGGGUCAAUAUCAUGCUCCUCCUUUGAUUUUAGAAGUUCCACUAUAAAGUUGUCUGAAGAUUUUUCCUUACUGAGGUAGAAUUGAAGCUUUAUGGUAGAAAUGUAUUAGUUGCCUUCUAUAAAAUCUUGUCAAAUUAUGUUUUUUUUCUUCAGAAAUAUAAUUUGACCAUACAAUUUUACCAGAAGAC
rnacentral:lncRNA from 1 species